ensembl:lncRNA
AUUCACGCAACCGAUUCGAUCAGUGAAAGGCAUAGCCCUUCAGUAGGUUCAACCAAUCAAACACUCCUUCAGAACUGUACUCGAAUGCUAUUGGUCGAGGUGUAUCCAGGCGGGAAAGGAACAACGCAUUCAGGCGUGAGUGAGAGCAUUCAGCAAACAGAAAAAAAGUCAUGUUAUAAGUUAGUUAGAUUUUGGAUUUAAUAAUAUAAAUGUUCGAUUUGGAUGUAGUUUGGAAUAAAUAUACUAUAGAUCUACUGUUUAACCAUAAAACCUGCUGCUUUAAGACCUCGCAAAGGUGUGAGAAGUUUCAGGAGCACAUCUCAAGUCCUGUGGAGGCCUGUUUCCACCACGGAAUAAAAAAAUGAAAAAAGCCCCAGAAAAACCCCGUUAAAUGAAAAAAGAACAGAAAGGAACGGGGGAGGAAAUGGAAGACAGUACUGCAUUGUGGCAUAUUCAACACUGUGGGUAGAAUGUUUUGUCCUCUUUACGUACUGUGUCCCAUUCUUUAGCGUUAGCUCACNUGUGUGUGUGUGUGUGUGUGUGUGUGUGUGUGUGUGUGUGUGUGUGUGUGUGUGUGUGUGUGUGUGUGUGUGUGUGUUGUGUAGGAUGGUGUGAGGUCAUACUGUGUGAGAUAUGAGCUGCUGUGGGGAAUUCAGACACACUGACUGACCAACACUGUGGGCAGUGGAAGACACAAUCUCUCUCUCUCUCUGCCUUUCUCUCUCUUUCUGUAAGUCUCAGAGGAGCAUAAAGAGCUGUUGUAAGUACUUUAAUGUGCUCAGCAUGAUUGCAAGUGAGGAAAACCACACACAUGCUCAGAGAGUGAGUUACAGCUUUGAUUUAAUCUGAGGAAACACCAAGACACUGGUUAUAGAAGUAAAUGUUCACACAUUUCAUGUUUAUUACUGUAUUUAUACCAGCAUAUAGAAAACAGUACACUAUUAGUUUGUGCUU